UCCCCAUUAAAUUCAAUUAUAUUACAUUUUAUUUUUCUCUCUUAUUUUUAACCAUACAAUCUUUCAUAAAAUAAUAUUACACGUAAAUCGAAAAACUUUUUAUUUUUUUUACUACUCAUUUUUUUAAAAAAUACUAUUCUCCCCAUUUUCAUUUUCAAGUAAUGGAGAUCAAACAAGAACUUAAUGAGGACCGAACGAGACCUUAUUAUCAUCAUGAUAAUCUAAUUUUAUUUUAUCAUGACCAUCAUACUUUAUAUUUAAUGUCAUAAUCACUAAAUUUGAUUUUAUUUUACUAUGACCACCCAACUUUAUAUUUAUUGUCACUAUGACCAUCAAAUUUGAUUUUAUUUCAUGAUGACUAUUCAAUUUCAAAUAAUGUUUACUACUUAAUUUCAUAUAACGUUUCACCAUAAGUAACUUUCUUUACAUUUUUCACUAAUUUAAAAAAUAUAUAAAACAAAAACAGCUAUGCUACCUACACAGCUCAAUUUGCACAGGACCUGUACAAAGUCACCCACAUGAAGGUGGAGCUUUCUCUGAACAACGCUGUCACGUGAGAGGUGGACCCCAUGUACAAGGACACCCACAUGAAAGUGGAGCUUUUUCUGAACAAGGCUGUCACAUGGGAGGUGGAAUUCACCCCUAUGUGUACGACUCUGUACAAGCCCCGUACAAGUAGGGUAGCCGGAGCUUUUUUCGAAGGAAAACUUUACGUUAUAUAUAUGGGCUGUGCUAUUUGCACAGGUCCUGUGUACAGGGUGUGAGAGGGGGGUGGACCCCCUGUGCAAGGAGAAAUAUCCUAUAUAUAUAAAGAAUAAUAGAUUUUAAAAAUAAAAAAUAAUAAAAACUUAUUUAAAAACAAAGAACAACUUUAAUAAUUUCACAUAUUUUGGAAGAUAAAAUAUAGAUAAAUAAAUUCAUAUGUUCAAUUUUUUAUUUAAUCAUUUUUUUUACAAAAAAAAAAAUAAACAUAAAUAUUUAACCUUCUAAAAAAUUCACAGAAAUUAAUCUAGCUGUGAGAAAUGAUUUAUGCACCUAUAGACGCAUACUGCUUGAAACUCUAUGCAGUGAGCCCGGAAAGUGCAAUCAAUGGUAAUUCAUUGAUUGAUUUCGGAGAAUGGUCUCUUAAAACGGCUAAAACCUCUGCCGUUUCAUUCUACUUCCAUUCUCCUAUACAUACCCGAUCAAAUUGAACCAAAAUAAAAACUGGAGAAAAAUGUGAAAAGUUCGGUAAGCAGAUUUGUCGAUGAAAAGAAACAACAACCGGCCAGUAAACUUCUCAAAAAUUAUUGCUAUGGCUACAGCCGCAUUGGCAGAUCAAGAACUAAGGGUAUUCAGUAUUCAACCCUUUCUUGGAGUACAUGUAGCCCCGUUUAGUAACAUACAAAAAAUAAGAGAAAUUCAUAAUCAAAUGAAAUUCACGAAUAGAUUUGGAUUUGUAUUUGUAGUUAUAAAAGAAGGACGAGGAGGAGGAGGAGGAGGACGAGGACGAGGAGGAGGACGAGGAAAUUGAAAGACUGCAG
rnacentral:lncRNA from 1 species